rnacentral:misc_RNA from 1 species
AAUCGGCCCAGUAGUCCUCUUCCUCCUCCUCCCCCCCUGCUUCGAUUCUGCUCGCCAGCUCACCGCCAGUGCUCUGCGCUGCCUGCCCAUCACUCACUCACUCACUCCCCCCACCCGGCGCACACUGCCGCUGCCUGCCACCACCCUACAUAAACCCCCGGCACCCCCUCCGUUGUUGCCACGCCACUUCCCUCCCCGCACCCUGCUCCCUCGCUUCAAAUCGAUUCGGCGCUACCGAGCACCAAACGCCAAGGCGGCUGCUUACCAGAGUCAUGCGGACCCAAAGAAGCCUCCUUCCCCUGCUCCUGCUUUCCGCCGCCGCGCUGCUCGCCGACGCGCAGGAGCGCAAGAACUACGUGGUUCAUCUCGAGCCGAGGGACGGCGGCAGCACCGCUUCGUUGGAGGAGUGGCACCGGUCCUUCUUGCCGGAGGCGACGCUGGACUCGGCGGCGGACGACGGGCCGAGGAUCAUCCACUCGUACAGCCACGUGCUGACGGGCUUCGCUGCCCGCCUCACCGACGCGGAGGCGGAGACGCUGCGGCGCAAGGAGGGGUGUCUGCGGCUGUACCCAGAGGAGUUCCUGCCGCUGGCGACCACCCACUCGCCGGGCUUCCUCGGCCUCCACAUGGGCAAGGACGGCUUCUGGAGCCGCUCCGGCUUCGGCCGCGGCGUGGUGAUUGGGCUCCUCGACACCGGCAUCCUGCCCAGCCACCCGUCCUUCGGCGACGCCGGGCUGCCGCCGCCGCCCAAGAAGUGGAAGGGCGCCUGCCAGUUCCGGUCGAUCGCCGGCGGCGGGUGCAGCAACAAGGUCAUCGGCGCGCGCGCGUUCGGGAGCGCGGCCAUCAACGACUCGGCGCCGCCCGUGGACGACGCGGGCCACGGCACGCACACGGCCAGCACGGCGGCGGGCAACUUCGUGCAGAACGCCGACGUGCGGGGCAACGCGCACGGCACGGCGUCCGGGAUGGCGCCGCACGCGCACCUGGCCAUCUACAAGGUGUGCACGCGGAGCCGGUGCUCCAUCAUGGACAUCGUUGCCGGCCUGGACGCCGCCGUCAAGGACGGCGUCGACGUGCUCUCCUUCUCCAUCAGCGCCACGGACGGCGCGCAGUUCAACUACGACCUCAUCGCCAUCGCCACGUUCAAGGCCAUGGAGCACGGGAUCUUCGUCAGCGCCGCGGCGGGCAACGACGGCCCCGCCGCGGGCUCCAUCACCAACGGCGCGCCAUGGAUGCUGACGGUUGCGGCGGGCACCAUGGACCGCGCGAUACGCACCACCGUCAGGCUCGGCGACGGGCAGGUGUUCGACGGCGAGUCGCUGUUCCAGCCCCGGAACAACACCGCGGGGCGCCCGCUGCCGCUCGUCUUCCCGGGCCGCAACGGCGACCCGGAGGCCCGCGACUGCAGCACGCUGGUGGAGGCCGAGGUGAGGGGCAAGGUGGUGCUGUGCGAGAGCCGCUCCAUCACGGAGCACGUCGAGCAGGGGCAGAUGGUGUCCGCGUACGGCGGCGCCGGCAUGAUCCUCAUGAACAAGCCGGCGGAGGGGUUCACCACCUUCGCCGACGCGCACGUCCUGCCGGCGUCGCACGUGAGCUACGCCGCGGGGUCCAAGAUCGCGGCGUACAUCAAGUCGACGCCCAGGCCCACGGCGACCAUCACGUUCCGGGGCACGGUGAUGGGCUCGUCCCCGGCGCCGUCCGUGGCCUUCUUCUCGUCGCGCGGGCCGAACAAGGCGAGCCCGGGCAUCCUGAAGCCCGACAUCACCGGGCCCGGAAUGAACAUCCUGGCGGCGUGGGCGCCCAGCGAGAUGCACCCGGAGUUCGCGGACGACGUGAGCCUGCCCUUCUUCAUGGAGUCCGGGACGUCCAUGUCGACGCCGCACCUGAGCGGCAUCGCGGCCAUCAUCAAGAGCCUGCACCCGAGCUGGUCCCCCGCGGCGAUCAAGUCGGCGAUCAUGACGUCGUCGGGCACGGCGGACCACGCGGGCGUGCCGAUCAAGGACGAGCAGUACAGGCGGGCGAGCUUCUACAGCAUGGGCGCCGGCUACGUGAACCCGUCCCGCGCCGUCGACCCGGGGCUGGUGUACGACCUCGGCGCCGGCGAGUACAUCGCCUACCUCUGCGGGCUGGGCAUCGGGGACGACGGCGUGAAGGAGAUAACUGGGCGCCGCGUCGCCUGCGCCAAGCUGAAGGCCAUCACCGAGGCGGAGCUCAACUACCCGUCGCUGGUGGUGAAGCUGCUGUCCCAUCCGAUCACCGUCCGCCGCACCGUGACCAACGUCGGGAAGGCCAACUCGGUGUACAAGGCCGUGGUGGACAUGCCCAGGGCCGUGUCCGUGGUGGUGCGGCCCCCGGUGCUGCGGUUCGCCAGGGCGAACGAGAAGCAGAGCUUCACCGUGACGGUGCGGUGGAACGGGCCGCCGGCCGUCGCCGGCGCCGAGGGGAACCUGAAGUGGGUGUCGAGCGAGCACGUCGUCCGGAGCCCGAUCGUUAUACCGCCGGCCAAGGCCGCCGCGUAGGCGUAGCUCCCAAUCCAAUCUGCUUGACGGCCGGCAGGACCGUUCUCAGCUCGUGUCGUGUCUCCGAGGAUGAAGGUCAUCAGUAUUCAGUAGCUUUAGGUAAUCGUGAGUGCGCCCGGUGUACGUAUGGCGAAGGAAGUAGGCAGGCGACUGUUGUAUAGGCUGGUGGAGGCAGGGUACCCGAUCAUCUGCGACGCAGCAAGCUCAGCUGCAAUGGCAAUGGCGCCCGUUCGUUCCGUAUGUAAAAAAAUGGCGGAAAUAAUUAAUCGCAUCGAAAACCCCCAAACCCGAUCAUCUGUCUGUUGCUUGCCUUCUUAGAAAAUACAACCACCAGUCCACCACUACCC